UACGAAGGGGGCUAGCGUUGCUCGGAAUCACUGGGCGUAAAGCGCACGUAGGCGGAUUGCUAAGUCAGGGGUGAAAUCCUGGAGCCCAACUCCAGAACUGCCUUUGAUACUGGCGAUCUCGAGUUCGGGAGAGGUGAGUGGAACUGCGAGUGUAGAGGUGAAAUUCGUAGAUAUUCGCAAGAACACCAGUGGCGAAGGCGGCUCACUGGCCCGAUACUGACGCUGAGGUGCGAAAGCGUGGGAGCGAACAGG
rnacentral:rRNA from 1 species